GAUGAACGCUGGCGGCGUGCCUAAUACAUGCAAGUCGAGCGAACAGACGAGGAGCUUGCUCCUCUGACGUUAGCGGCGGACGGGUGAGUAACACGUGGAUAACCUACCUAUAAGACUGGGAUAACUUCGGGAAACCGGUGCUAAUACCGGAUAAUAUAUUGAACCGCAUGGUUCAAUAGUGAAAGACGGUUUUGCUGUCACUUAUAGAUGGAUCCGCGCCGCAUUAGCUAGUUGGUAAGGUAACGGCUUACCAAGGGAACGAUGCUGAGCCGACCUGAGAGGGUGAUCGGCCACACUGGAACUGAGACACGGUCCAGACUCCUACGGGAGGCAGCAGUAGGGAAUCUUCCGCAAUGGGCGAAAGCCUGACGGAGCAACGCCGCGUGAGUGAUGAAGGUCUUCGGAUCUUAAAACUCUGUUAUUAGGGAAGAACAAAUGUGUAAGUAACUAUGCACGUCUUGACGGUACCUAAUCAGAAAGCCACGGCUAACUACGUG
rnacentral:rRNA from 1 species